rnacentral:rRNA from 1 species
AACGAACGCUGGCGGCAGGCUUAACACAUGCAAGUCGAGCGCCCCGCAAGGGGAGCGGCAGACGGGUGAGUAACGCGUGGGAAUCUACCGUGCCCUACGGAAUAGCUCCGGGAAACUGGAAUUAAUACCGUAUACGCCCUUUGGGGGAAAGAUUUAUCGGGGUAUGAUGAGCCCGCGUUGGAUUAGCUAGUUGGUGGGGUAAAGGCCUACCAAGGCGACGAUCCAUAGCUGGUCUGAGAGGAUGAUCAGCCACAUUGGGACUGAAACACGGCCCAAACUCCUACGGGAGGCAGCAGUGGGGAAUAUUGGACAAUGGGCGCAAGCCUGAUCCAGCCAUGCCGCGUGAGUGAUGAAGGCCCUAGGGUUGUAAAGCUCUUUCACCGGUGAAGAUAAUGACGGUAACCGGAGAAGAAGCCCCGGCUAACUCUGUGCCAGCAGCCGCCGUAAGAC